GUGGGGAAUCUUCCGCAAUGGACGAAAGUCUGACGGAGCGACGCCGCGUGAGUGAAGAAGGCCUUCGGGUCGUAAAGCUCUGUCAUCAGGGACGAACGGCCGGUGGAGUGGAAAGCCACCGGAUUGACGGUACCUGAGAAGGAAGCCACGGCUAACUACGUGCCAGCAGCCGCGGUAAUACGUAGGUGGCAAGCGUUGUCCGGAAUUAUUGGGCGUAAAGCGCGCGCAGGUGGGAUCUUAAGUCCAUUUUUAAAGUUCGGAGCUCAACUCCGUGAUGGGAUGGAAACUGGGAGUCUUGAGUACCGGAGAGGAAAGCGGAAUUCCCCGUGUAGCGGUGAAAUGCGUAGAUAUGGGGAGGAACACCAGUGGCGAAGGCGGCUUUCUGGACGGUGUCUGACACUGAGGCGCGAAAGCCAGGGGAGCGAACGGGAUUAGAUACCCGAGUAGUCC
rnacentral:rRNA from 1 species